rnacentral:rRNA from 1 species
UACGAAGGGGGCUAGCGUUGUUCGGAAUCACUGGGCGUAAAGCGCACGUAGGUGGAUCUUUAAGUCAGGGGUGAAAUCCCGAGGCUCAACCUCGGAACUGCCUUUGAUACUGGGGAUCUCGAGUCCGGGAGAGGUGCGUGGAACUGCGAGUGUAGAGGUGAAAUUCGUAGAUAUUCGCAAGAACACCAGUGGCGAAGGCGGCUCACUGGCCCGGAACUGACGCUGAGGUGCGAAAGCGUGGGGAGCAAACAGG